rnacentral:misc_RNA from 1 species
AAAGAAAACUACCUUUGCCCAACCAAGGGCAAAGGCAUUAUUAUUUUUCUGAAAAGAUGCGCUUUGAUUGGAGAAGUGGAAAACAAAUAUGGCCAGAAAUUAAAACCAUAAAAAUUCUUCAAACAGAAAACUCCAUAAGCUACCUUGUACAGUGGCAUCCGAAAGAGAGAGAGGGAGAUGUCAGAGGAGGAGAAGGGAGUCAUUGGAAAAAUCAUUAGAUAAUGCCACCUACCAGUUCAGGUGGACCAUGACCCUUUUGCCGAAAGCCUGAACAUAUAGAAAGGAAGAGAAUAAUGAAUGUGACCCACAAAUUCUUUCAGGACCAUCCAUGACCCUGUAUUUCCUAAACAAGACGGAAAGAGGAUGAGUAACCCCUGACCCACCAUGACCCACCUGGAAUUCUCCUGUCCCAUUUGAGUUAACCCCUGAGGAGGCUAUUGUAUAUUGUCAAUUCCCAUAUGCUUUAGUUGUU